AGAGUUUGAUCAUGGCUCAGAGUGAACGCUGGCGGCGUGGUUUAGGCAUGCAAGUCGAACGAUCCGUCCGCAAGGACGAGAUAGUGGCAAAAGGGUGCGUAACACGUGAGCAAUCUACCUUUAAGUGGGGAAUAACCUUGGGAAACCGAGGCUAAAACCGCAUAUGACCACAGCCCGGAAUCGGGCAGUGGUAAAAGACGGGGACCGCAAGGCCUGUCGCUUGAAGAUGAGCUCGCGACCUAUCAGCUUGUUGGCGGGGUAAUGGCCCACCAAGGCUUUUGACGGGUAGCUGGUCUGAGAGGAUGGUCAGCCACAUUGGGACUGAGACACUGCCCAGACUCCUACGGGAGGCUGCAGUCGAGAAUCUUUUGCAAUGCUCGAAAGAGUGACAAUGCGACGCCGCGUGUGCGAUGAAGGUCUUCGGAUUGUAAAGCACUGUCAGUCGGGAGGAAGGUCUUCUCUUUUAAUAAAGGAGAAGGUUUGACAGUACCGGCAGAGGAAGCCACGGCUAACUCCGUGCCAGCAGCCGCGGUAAUACGGAGGUGGCAAGCGUUACUCGGAUUGAUUGGGUGUAAAGGGCGUGUAGGUGGUGAAUUAAGUCGAAUGUGAAAUCCCUUGGCUCAACCAAGGAACUGCAUUCGAAACUAAUUUGCUUGAGCGACAGAGAGGUAAGUGGAAUUCCCGGUGUAACAGUGAAAUGUGUAGAUAUCGGGAGGAACACCAGUGGCGAANGCGACUUACUGGAUGUCUGCUGACACUGAAACGCGAGAGCUAGGGGAGCAAACAGGANUAGAUACCCUGGUAGUCCUAGCCGUAAACGAUGUUCACUAGGUGUCGGGCCCUCUGGGUUC
rnacentral:rRNA from 1 species